UACGGGGGGGAGCAAGCGUUGUUCGGAUUUACUGGGCGUAAAGGGCGCGUAGGCGGCCACCGCAAGUCAAUUGUGAAAUCUCCGGGCUUAACUCGGAAAGGUCAACUGAUACUGCGGGGCUAGAGUGCGGAAGGGGCAACUGGAAUUCUCGGUGUAGCGGUGAAAUGCGUAGAUAUCGGGAGGAACACCAGUGGCGAAGGCGAGUCUCUGGGAUGAUGCUGACGCUGAGGCGCGAAAGCCAGGGGAGCAAACGGG
rnacentral:rRNA from 1 species